UAAUUCCGGCUUGUUGGAAUAAACCAAAAAAAAAAAAAAAAAAAAAAACUGCAAGCAAGGUGAAAUGUAGAUUUGACUUUAUAUAACUUUGAUGAUGAUGAAAUGUGUAACAUAAGUUUCAUAAUCAUACUGAUGACCAUCAUAACGGAAAAAGGAACGAGUAGGUGGUGGUGGUGGUGGAUGAUGGCGAUUCUUAAAUUUAAUCUGCCCCAACAACAACAACAACAAGAAAAAAAAUUUCGAAUAUUUUUAAAAUCAUCAAACAAGAUAAAAUCUAAAUCUACAUCUGGUAUGAACAUGUUCAUUUUAUAAAAAACCACCGUUUUUUAUUUCUCUGUUUUUUCCGAGCAUGCCAGCCAUUUUCAUUUGGAUUUGUUGGCCAUACAAUCUUACCUAUACGAAUGAAUUUCUUGAAUUUUGAUUGGUCAAGACGGCUAAAAAUAAAUGGUAUACGGAAACGCAUGAUGUGCGCAUCUAGAAUAGAAACAACGCAAUGAUUUUGAAAUUGAAUUCGACAUUUUUUUGGCAUGAAUAAAAACCAUGAUGAUAAAAAAAAACAGUUAGUCAAAAAUAUCAUGAAAUAUCGUCUACUUUAUCAUCAUUGUUCACCUAAUUUGAAUGAAUAAGAAUUAAAAAUCUGGUCUAUGACGAAGACAAUUCAAUUGGGACAGCUUGUGUACAAUCAUCAUCAUCAUCAUCAUCGUCAAUUCAUUUCGAACGAUUUCAAUCAACACAUCCUUCCAUUGAUCAUUCAUAAUUAUAAUCGGACAUCAACCUGAAUAUAUUUGUGUGAUAAAAUACUAUAAAGGUGAAUUUGAAAGAAAAUAGUAAUAAUGACAACAAAAUAUCCGUUAUUUACUGUUGAACAUCAUCAACAAUACCAACAUGGCCAUCAUAAUCUUGUCAUAUUUAUUAUUACAAUAUGUUUCCUAUAUCAGCAAAAUUUUGUCGUUGAAUGUUUACCAUCAUCAACGUCAUCGUUGCAACAAUCGCAGCCACAAAUAUCAUCAUCAUCAUCAUCAUCAUCGAAAACCGGGAUCGAAUCAGAAUCAACAAUAAUGGAUCAACAUUCAAAAAGUUCAUCAUCAUCACUGUCUCAUGAAAUUCCACAUUUUCCCAAUCGAAACAUUUACAAUAAAAAUGAUGAUGAUGAUGAUGAUGAUGAUGGAUAUGAUACUAUUAACGAUUAUAAAAACGGUAAUGAUAAUAAUAUGGUUAGAAACAAACAACAAGAUGAAUCGAUCGAUGGAUCUAAAUAUGGCCAAAAAUCGAAUGUACUUUUUUUCCGUGGUUAUAAUGAUGAUCAUGAUGAUGUCAUCAUUGAUAAUGUCAACAAUAUUAAUCAUCAUUUUCCAA